GACGAACGCUGGCGGCGUGCUUAACACAUGCAAGUCGAACGAUGAAGAAGAGAAACGCGAACUUCGGUUCAAAUUUCACUUCGGAUUAGUGGCAGACGGGUGAGUAACGCGUGAGCAACCUACCUCUUACAAAGGGAUAGCCUCGGGAAACCGUGAUUAAUACCAUAUGACACAUUCAUAAGGCAUCUUAAGAAUGUUAAAGCUACGGCGGUAAGAGAUGGGCUCGCGUCCCAUUAGCUAGUUGGUGAGGUAAAGGCCCACCAAGGCGACGAUGGGUAACCGGCCUGAGAGGGUGAACGGUCACAUUGGAACUGAGACACGGUCCAAACUCCUACGGGAGGCAGCAGUGGGGAAUAUUGCACAAUGGAGGGAACUCUGAUGCAGCGACGCCGCGUGAGCGAUGAAGGAAUUCGUUUCGUAAAGCUCUGUUCUAUGGGAAGAAAAGGACUGUACCAUAGGAGAAAGCCCCGGCUAAAUACGUG
rnacentral:rRNA from 1 species